rnacentral:rRNA from 1 species
AACGAACGCUGGCGGCAUGCCUAACACAUGCAAGUCGAACGAACCCUUCGGGGUUAGUGGCGCACGGGUGCGUAACGCGUGGGAAUCUGCCCUUUGCUUCGGAAUAACAGUUAGAAAUGACUGCUAAUGCCGGAUGAUGUCUUCGGACCAAAGAUUUAUCGGCAAGGGAUGAGCCCGCGUAGGAUUAGGUAGUUGGUGGGGUAAAGGCCUACCAAGCCGACGAUCCUUAGCUGGUCUGAGAGGAUGAUCAGCCACACUGGGACUGAGACACGGCCCAGACUCCUACGGGAGGCAGCAGUGGGGAAUAUUGGGCAAUGGGCGCAAGCCUGAUCCAGCAAUGCCGCGUGAGUGAUGAAGGCCUUCGGGUCGUAAAGCUCUUUUACCAGGGAUGAUAAUGACAGUACCUGGAGAAUAAGCUCCGGCUAACUCCGUGCCAGCAGCCGCUGUAACAC